CUGACAUCCAAUUGUUGGAGUUACAUAUUUUCAAGUUCAUAGGGUAAAUGUCAGGCGGAUGUUUUUGACGUAUCCAAAAACAAAAUUAAAACUCGCAGGACCCCUGAACUAUAAUACACGAAUACACGCGCGGUCGGCACGUGAGAAACGGAAAUAAACUGUCUGCGUUUUCUCCCACCAAGGCGGGCUCUGUUAUUCACGCGAGAACGAGAAUGCGCGAGAAUGCCUGGUGCGGAGAAGAAAAGCCGCGCGUCGUCUCUUGGUGUCGCGCGCGAGUGAUCGUCCUCCGGCGUCGUCGUUAACUUCUCCUCCGUCGGCGUGUUGUAUUUUGUACACACCAACGUAUGGUGUCAUGCACGGCCCGGAUAGGCCCGUGUCCACUGUGCUGCGCGUUCCGCUACCUUUCGCCAGCGCUGCCGCUACGUAGACGGAGGCGCCGCGGGGUGGUGCACGCGGGACGAGGACUAUGAGCGCGUUGUCGUCGACGACCUGUCGUGUAACGUCUGUGACGACUGCCGUCUGUAGGAUCGCGGCUCUGAAUCGUCGCCACCGCGGACGCGAGGCCACGAGAAUGACUUAAGCGUCCAGCUUGUCACUGCCGGAAUCGUAACGCGGACGAUAAGGAACUGUCCUCGGGACACGAUGCAGAGUCUACGUCGAAUGUGCUGGCUGUUUUGGGUGGGUCUACCGAUGCUCGCAGCCUACCCUGUACCUUCGCCCCUCGCCGCUGAUUCAGAAUAUGCACGUACUUCCUGGCAGUGGGAACAUUAUUGGAUGCGUUAUGCGAUUGCUCUGUCGAGCGUUACUGCCACAGCAUUAACUUUGGCUGGGUGUCUUUGUUGCCAAAGGCACAGAAGACCUAAAGGAUUCCAGGACAAAGCAGAAAAAUGCAAUCAGGAAUUCAAAGAUGGAAGCAGUACGGGACAUGAAAAUGCAUUUGAUCAGUCCGUCGAAGGAUUGGAAUUGGACGCCUCCAGGACGUUGGCUGCUUCUGAAAGAAUUCAAUUUGAACCCUUACCAGUGGAUUCAAUCGUAUCUGGAACUAAAAGUACUCCAAAACAUAAAGCGAUACCGUUGUCAGCGCCGCGUAUCGAGGAUCAAGAUACGGAUCGAUCUAUUCUACAGGAGCCAUGUAGCGAAUGGUUCAACUCCGACGAGCUUUACGUUCCUAGAGAGAAACUUAAAUACCUUAGAGAAAUAGGUCACGGAUGGUUCGGAAAAGUUGUUGAAGGUCGGGCGGAUUUGGAACAGUCGAAAGGCAUAUCGAAAUCGGGUGGCGUGGUAGUGAGAAUUCUUACCGAAGAGGCUACUACCAGAGAAAAGGCUUGGUUUCUCGGCGAGGCUACGCCAUACUUGAAGCUACGCCACCAAAAUGUCUUGGCUCUACUUGGUUUCUGCCUGGAAACCGAUCCAUAUCUUCUACUGUUUGAGUCUUGUCCAGCUGGCGAUCUAAAAGGUUUCUUGCUCUCAAAUCGUGAUAGUAAGUCGAGAGAAACGCUCAUUAAGGAAAACGUUCCGAUACGAAUUGCAAUAGAAAUCGCAUCUGGUUUGAAGCACAUGCACAAUCAUGGCUUUGCGCAUACAGAUCUCUCGGCAAGAAACUGUCUGAUUGCUCCAGACUUAUCAGCCAAGUUAGGUGAUUAUGGUACCGGUGUCGAGAAAUAUCCUGAUGACUACUAUAUAGUAGGAGAUCGAGCCUUACCAAUUAGAUGGUCCGCGCCGGAAAGUUUGAACUGUACGGACACCACCAUCGAAACGCAAGAAAUCACGUUACAGGCCAAUAUGUGGACCUAUGCUGUUCUGCUCUGGGAGAUUGUCAGUUGGGCAGAGAGACCUUACAACGAUAUGAACGACGAACAGGUCAUUCAGAUGAUUCUAUCUCUAAAAAAGCAAUUUUUGCCUAACGGUACGCGAUUGCUACAAAAUUAUCUUACUAAUUGUCCGCCAAAUAUAUUACAAAUGAUUCGCUUGUGUUUCAAUAUCAAUGCGAAAGACAGACCUUCCUUAGACGACGUGAAGCAAAUUCUUCUUAAUGAACAUUCGGCGCACAUGGAUUUCGAGCAACGGUGGGAGAGUCUACGCGCAAAUAGCAAACAGCACGUACGCAGUGCUAGCUUGCAAGAUCUACGUGGUAGUAUUGAUUCCGACUACUGGACUCAUAUAGUGGAUGACGCGCAAACGACGGACUCACUACAGUCCUCGUUUCGUCUUGGACCUGAUGAACAAGUGAAAAAUAUCCCUAAAAUGAAAACUACCACGAUAUUUCAUGAGUCUGGUUCUGAAACCGAAGAGGAGAGCUGGAAAGGCCGAAUCGAGAAGGGCGUUUAUACUGAAAAGGUUAAACAAAAGUCCAAAUCGGUGACAGAUCUUAUGGUGCUUGUACAUAUCGAUCCUGAUUCGGAUGCUGAAUGGUCACUGGGAGCGCAAACGUCGGAGAAGAACAUCAAGAAAAAGGUACCCGUGACUGGUAGCGACAGCGACCUUAGGCAUACCGUGCCUGCGGACGAGUUUGAUGAAACGUUGAAGAAGUUAAGAGAUCCUUUACCGAUCAAUACUACCAACAAAGUCCGAUCUUUGGAAAAUUUGGAACGGCCGAAGCUCUUGACUUUGACUAUAGAUCAGGGCCAGACACCGAUCUUACGUCUCUCCUUGGACAGCACGGAAAAAACUCCGGAAAACAACGAUGUGCAAUUUAAUACGAGUACAGAUAAUAUACAACGCGACGGUGAGAAACACGUAUUAAGACUUUUAUCAAAGGGUGAUCCAGAUCUCCCUCUUCUUCGCUAUGUACCUGACCAAAUGUCCUCCGUUGAAGGAGUAGAUGAAAAAAGGGACGAUCACGAAAAGCACAAUGUACCUCUUGUAAGUAAGGAGGAUAACAAUGAUAUUUCUAAUCGUUUUGUUUCGAAUAAUACCGAGACCAAUAUGAUAGACGUUUUACUUUGGAAUCACGCGUUAGAUUCCGCUUUAGAGCACAAAGUACCAGGCUUCUCGGAUGAAGGGGAAUUCAACGAGUAUAUAGACGCAUCGACUGAGCAAAGUAACGUUAGUGUACCAGAAUUGACUGUAACCACCAGGUCUACACCAGACACACCACCGUUUUGUAACGCUUAUUCGAUUUAUACUGCCGAUGAUAGCUUUUCUAGGAUAGAGAACGCGGAAAUAGAACGAAAACCAUUGCCAAAUGACGAAGAAGAGGAAAGAAAACAGUUAUCUACACCAGAUGAUGAACAGAGCUCCGAUUCCGGUUUUCGGGACAAAGAGUCUUGCGAGGAAGAGGAAGCAAUUUGUUCAGCAUCCGGCAACCCCUUGUCUUCAGUCAACAGUAAUGCGGUUUCCAGAUCAUCAUAUUCCGAAGAAGAGCCAUUCCAAAUUCUAUUUGAGUUAGAUACUAUCCUAGACGCAGAAUAUUACGCCACGCCUGCUGGCCCUGAAUGUAUAACGGAACGUGCAAUUUCCACACCUGACGAGAAGGACGUAUCGCCUUCGAAACAGAAUACUUUUGACUUACAUGAUGCCUCUGUUAAUGUUGACGUUACCAAUUCCGAUCCAAAUACGAAGAAAAGUAGUCCGAAUCGAGUGAAAGUAACACAUGAAUAUGAAGUUUUAGAAGACAUUGAGACAGAAAAAAAAGAAACAACUCCUGAAAAAAUGCAGAAAUUUAAGGCCAAAAGUGAUAUACAUCAAUCGCGAGAUUCAGAAACGGAGACACGCGUUUUAAAAUUGGACACCUUUAAUAUCCAGCGAGAUGAACAGUGCUCGCAGGGCGAUUGCGAGAAUGAGGAUGAGGAUAGUUCGACGAUGAGCUUACGUAGCGACAAUUCGUACGUGUCGUUUGGUAUGGAAGAAGAAUUCGUAACGGCGAUUCGUAACGAACUCAGGGAAAAAUUGCCUCAGGCUCAGAUGCAGAUCGUUGAAACCUUGGAAGUACACGACGACGAAAAUCCUUCCAUCUCUGACGACGCGUACGGCAAACAGUGGGAUGAUGAAGAUUUAUCCAAUCAAGUUAGCGGCGGUGUAGAUAUCUCAAUCAGGUAUAAUGUGUAUGGGACACCACUUAGUCCUAUUCUGGAAGAACGAGAAAGCACAUCUGAAUCUUUAAUGUCGAACUCUAGAGAAACAUCCGUUGCUUCGAAAGAAUCGAUGCCAUCCGAAGAUGUGCUAAUGGUGGACACUCGUACGAAUGAAAUGAUAUUAUUGGAAGGACGAUUACAAGAUGAAGAUCGAGAUACGACGAAUGGCGAUCUGUCUGAAGAGGAGAAUUCUUCACUUGUUCACUUGUUUACUUGUUCAGUAACGCAUCCAUUAGAAGAAAAGCCGCAUAUUGUAAAGACAAGCGGAGGCGCGCCAUUACCGAGCCCUGAGGAAGAAUCCAAAUGGCAGCAGUUACCAUCGUCUUUUCCAUUACCUCUACCAAUACAAGAUGAUUUAAUGUCGACGAGUUUUGUUACUAAACACGAAUGUAGUCAAGAUGAUGACGAAGAGGAAGAAGAAGAAGAGGAGGAAGAGGAGGUGGAAGAGGAAGAAGACGAAGAUGGAGAAGAAGAUGAAGAUAAUAGUUCUAGUUCUGGUGAAUUUGUAUGGAAGAGAUACAAUGAGCCACAUAUCGAACAGAUACGAAUCAGAAGUACUGUGAAUAAUGAUGGAGCGAAUACACCGACGAGUACCGAAUUAGAAGAGGAAUUGGCGGUCGAAGACGAAGAGGAAGAAGAAGAAUUUACACCUUCGGCCUGGAAUGCUGCUUUAGCGCCACAUCGAUCGGCACUGAGGUCUCCGGACAAAACGUUAAAAUCAGGGGAUGAGUUGGUAGGAUCAGAAGAAGAGCGUAUGGUUCAAGAAGCAACGCUAUCAGUGCGUGUACGAGUAUCCGAAGGAAACGUUACCUGCGGACAAUCAAGCGGAUCCUAUUACCAACUCGGAACCAACGUCAUAUUCUGAUUGGGAAGAAAUGAUGAAUGAACCACGAUUAGAUUUAUAUCCUUUAGAUUAUGACGAUGCCAAUCAUGUUGGAAACGAAGAAUUUUUUGUGACUAGCUCAAAUCGACCGUUUCAAUUUCAAACUGGCGAAAGUAAGUACGU
rnacentral:misc_RNA from 1 species